rnacentral:rRNA from 1 species
CGUGUAGGCGGCUAAGUAAGUCUGGAGUGAAAGUCCUGCUUUUAAGGUGGGAAUUGCUUUGGAUACUGCAUAGCUAGAGUGCAGGAGAGGUAAGUGGAAUUCCCAGUGUAGCGGUGAAAUGCGUAGAGAUUGGGAGGAACACCAGUGGCGAAGGCGACUUACUGGACUGUAACUGACGCUGAGGCGCGAAAGUGUGGGGGAGCAAACA